rnacentral:tRNA from 1 species
GCCCUCGUAGCUCAGCUGGAUAGAGCACUUCCCUCCUAAGGAAGGGGUCGUGCGUUCGAAUCGCGCCGGGGGUA